rnacentral:rRNA from 1 species
CAAUAGCGUAUAUUUAAGUUGCUGCAGUUAAAAAGCUCGUAGUUGGAUUUCGGGUGGGAAUGGCCGGUCCGCCGUUUCGGUGUGCACUUGCUACGCCCACCUUGCUGCCGGGGACGUGCUCUUGAGUUCACGCUCGGGACACGGAGUCGGCGAGGUUACUUUGAGUAAAUUAGAGUGUUCAAAGCAGGCCUACGCUCUGAAUACAUUAGCAUGGAAUAACACGAUAGGACUCUGGCCUAUCUUGUUGGUCUGUAGGACCGGAGUAAUGAUUAAGAGGGACAGUCGGGGGCAUUCGUAUUUCAUUGUCAGAGGUGAAAUUCUUGGAUUUAUGAAAGACGAACUACUGCGAAAGCAUUUGCCAAGGAUGUUUUCAUUGA